GCAGGUGUGUUACAUAGGUAAACUUAUGUCAUGGGGGUUUGUUUUACAGACUAUUUCAUCACCCAGGCAUUAAGCCUACUACCCUUUAGUUAUUUUUCCUGAACUUCUCCCUCCUCCUACCCUCCUCUCUCUGAUGGGCCCAGGUGUGUGUAGUUCCCCUUUAUGUGUCCAUGUGUUCUCAUCAUUUAGCUCCCACUUAUAAAUGAGAACAUGCAGUAUUUGGUUUUCUGUUCUUGCAUUAGUUUACUAAGGAUAAUGGCCUCCAGCUCCAUCCAUGUCCCAGCAAAAGACAUGAUCUCAUUUUUUUAUGGCUAUGUACCAUUCCAUACUAUAUAUGUACCACAUUUUCUUCAUCCAAUCUACUGUUGGUGGACAUUUAGGUUGAUUCCAUGCCUUUGUUAUUGUGAAUAGUGCUGCAAUAAACAUACACAUGCAUGUGUCUUCAUAACAGAAUGAUUUAUAUUCCUUUGGGUAUAUACCCAAUAAUGGGAUUGCUGGAUCAAAUGAUAUUUCUGUCUUUAGGUCUUUGAGGAAUUGCUGCACUGUCUUCCACAAUGUACUAAUUUACACUCCCACCAGUAGUGUGUAAGCAUUCCUUUUCUUCCACAACAUCAACAGCAUCUUUUUCUUUUUUCUUUUUGGACUCUUUAAUAAUAACCAUUCUGACUGAUGUGAGAUGGUAUCAUUGUGGUUUUGAUUUGUAUUUCUCCAAUGAUGAAUAAUAUUGGGCUUUUUAAUCAUAUGAUUGUGGGCCACAUGUAUAUCUUCUCUUGAAAAGUGUCUGUUCAUGUCCUUUGCUCAUGUUCUGAUGAGAUUCCUUAUUUUUUUCUUGUAAAUUUGUUUAAGUUCCUUAAAGAUGCUGAAUAUUAGACCUUUGUCAGAUGCAUAGUUUGCAAAAAUUUUCUCCCAUUCUGUAGGUUGUCUGUUUACUCUGUUGAUAGUUUCUUUGUACUGUGCAGAAGCUCUGUAAUUUAAUAAGAUCCCAUUUGUCAAUUUUUACUUCUAUUGCAAUUGCUGUUGGCAUCUUCAUCAUAAAGUCUUUGCACAUGCCUAUGUCCUGAAUAGUAUUGCUUAGCUUGUCUUCCAGGGUUUUUAUAGUUUUGGGUUUUACGGUUAAGUAAUCCCUCUUGAGUUAAUUUUUGCAUACAGUAUAAGGAAGGAGUUCAGUUUCAAUCUUCUGCAUAUGGCUAGCCAGUUAUCCCAGCACUGUUUAUCUAAUAGGGAAUCCUUUCCUCAUUGCUUGUUUUUGUCAGGUUUGUUGAAGAUCAGAUAGUUGUAGCAUGCAGCCUUAUUUUUGGGGUCUCCAUUCUGUUCCAUUGGUCUAUGUGUCCUUCUGUACCAGUACCAUGGUAUUUUGUUUACUGUAGCCUUGGACUACAGCUUGAAGUUGAGUAGCAUGAUGUCUCCAGCUUGUUAUUUUUGCUUAGAACUGCCUUGGCUAUUCAGGCUCUUUUUUGAUUCCAUAUGAAUUUUAAAAUAAUAUUUUCUAGUUCUUUGAAAAAUCCCAAUGGUAGUUUAAUAGGAACAGCACUGAAUCUAUACAUUUCUUUUAACAAUAUUGAUUCUUCCUACUCAAUAGCAUGAAGUGUUUUUCCAUUUGUUUGUGUCAUCUCUGAUUGCUCUGAGCAGUGUUUUGUAGUUCUCCUUGUAGAGGUCUUUCACCUUCCCUAGUUAGCUAUAUUCCUAGGUGUUUUAUUCUUUUUGUAGCAAUUGUGAAUGGGAGUACGCUCCUGAUUUGGCUCUCAGCUUUACUGUUGGUGUAUAGGAAUGCUAGUGAUUUUUGCUUAUUGAUUUUGUAUCUUGAGACUUUGUCGAGAUUGUUUAUCAGCUUAAGAAGCUAUUGGGCUGAGGCUAUGGGGUUUUGUAGAUAUAGGAUCAUGGCGUCUGCAAAAAGAGAUAGUUUGAUUUCCUAUUUGGAUGCCCUUUAUUUCUUUCUUUUGCCUGAUUGCCCUGGUCAGGAAUUCCAAAACUAUGUUGGUUUUUUUGUUUUGUUUUGUUUUGUUUUACUUUUUAACAUUUAUUUUAAGUUCAGGGGACAUGUGCAGGUUUGUUACAUAGGUAAACUUGUCAUGGGGGUUUGUUGUACAGAUUAUUUCAUCACCCAAGUAUUAAGCUUGGUACUCCUUAGUUAUUUUUCCUGAUCCUCUGAUACUGAUCCUCCUCCCACUUUCUACCCUCCAAAAGGCCCUAGUGUGUGUUGUUCCCCUCUGUGUGUCCAUAUGUUCUUAUUAUUUAGCUGAUAGGCUGGAUAAAGAAAAUGUGGUAUUUCCUCAAUACUAUGUUGAAUAGGGAUGGUGAGAGAGGGCAUUCUUGUCUUGUUCCAGUUUUCAAGAAGAAUGCUUCAAGCUUUUGCCCAUUUAUUGUCAUAUGAUAUUGGCUGUGGGUUUUUAUUUAUUUAUGGUUCUUAUCAUUUUGAGGCCUGGUUCUAGACGUAGAGUGAUUUGCAUACUUUACCAAGGAGUUUUACCUCAUCUGAUAAUCAGCAGGGAGCUAGUAAAUGGUUUCAUGCAGAAUAAUAAAUAUAGGUUUCUAUUUUAGAAGGAAUAAUCCUGCAGCAAUAUGGAAGAUGGAGGUAUGGCUAAGGAUGAAUGAAAAAAAAAAAAGACUUCCUAAAGGAAAAUCAAAGUAGUUUCAGCAGCAAAUAAAAGGCAAAGAAACAUAUAUUGGGGAAAGGAUACUGUAUUCAGUAAAUUGUGCUGGAAAAAGUGGUAAGCCACAUGUAGAAGAAUGAAACUGGAUCCCCAGCUCUCACCUAAUACAAAAAUCGACUCAAGAUGCAUCAAAGACUUAAAUAUAAAACCUGAAACCUUGAAAAUUCUAGAAGAUAACACCAGAAAAACUCUUCUAAAUGUUGGCUUACGCAAAGAAUUCAUGACUAAGACACCAAAAGAAAAUGCAACAAAAACAAAAAUAAAUAAAUGGGACUCAAUUAAACUGAAAAGAUUUUGCACACCAAAUAAAUAAUCAGAAGAAUAAACAGAAAACCCACAGAAUGGAAGAAAAUAUUCACCAACUAUGCAUCUGACAAAGGACUAGUAUCCAGAAUUUACAAGGAACUCAAACAAAUAAAUGAAUUCAAAUAUCCCAUUAAAAAGUGUGCAAAGGACAUGAAUAGACAAUUGUCAAAAGAAGAUAUACAAACAGCCAAUAAACAUAAAAAAAAAUACAGCAUCGCUAGUCACCAGGGAAAUGCAAAUUAAAACCACAGUGAGAUUCCACCUUACUCCCGCAAGAAUGUCCACAAUUAAAAAGUCAGAAAACAAUAGAUGUUGGCAUGGAUUUGGUGAAAAUCACAUCAGUGAAUACAGAUUUGGGAAGAAAUGUGCAUAACUGGUUUCAGCUAGCCAACACGCUGGUCCCAGUAUACCACUGGCUACGGCAUUCUAAAAGUGUCCUCAUAUGUAUCUAUUAAAUAUUCAAGAACUUUGACCAAUAUAUUCUCUGCCAAAUGCUCUCAAGAAAUCUUGGUGGAGAUGGUGUCGGGGUAAGGUGGGGGUUUUUCCGAAAUGGAAUCAUGUUAAUGUGGACUUAAUGUUAAAAUAUGAAUUUUCAAAAAAAUUUGCUUUACUUUCAGUAGGCUAAAUACCUACAUAGUAAAAUUUAAAAAAAUCUGUAAUUCUCUCUUAAUUUAUUCAUUAUACUAUUAUAUGUGGUAGGCAUUUUUUUCCUGGCUCUCAUAUCAUUUGUGUUUGUUUUAUACUAAUGAAAUACAGAAAAACUCUGUAGUAUAUAGAGCCCAAUGGAACUUUUAAGAGUGAGAAUUUUAAUUUGUAUAUUAUGGAAAAGUCAUCUCAGAAAUAUUAGUUUAUAAAUAUGCAGAUACAAUUUCUAGAAUGUCAAAAAAUAAUCCUUUCACCUGAGUUGUCUUAAGUAAAUAACUUUUAGGAUUUUUAAUUGGAUUAUUUAUGUAAUCAUUAUAAAGGAGAUCUGAGGUAAAUUGCUUAAGCAUUUUCUUUAGCUUUUUGCAAGACUAAAAAUGGAGAAUAAAUAUUUGCUCAAAUAUCGAGUCAAACUAAUUUUGAAGAGAAAUCUCUAAAUACUUUAUUAAAUGACCAAAAUAUAAGAAAAUGUUUAAAAAGACUGCAAAUAGAAACACAUCAGUUUAAAGCACACAAAGAGAUAAGUGGAAAAAGUAUUUUCUCAGAACAUGCUAAAAAAAACUUAGAAUAUCCAGGAUACUGCAUUUAUUCAUCCUUACAACAUGAAUUUUAAAUAUCUUAGCGACUGUGCUAUCAUUUUCAGUGUUCUGUAUGAAUUCUUACCUUCUCAGAAGAUUAUGUAGAUAUAACAGAUACUUCUGGAAUAUAUAUCCAUGAUAAGAUUUGUCUUUUUACAGGAGAAAAGAAAAUAUAUCAAGUCCAACAGAACUUAAGAAAAUACAAUUUAAUUAACUUUAUAUGAUAUAGGCCUUGUUAAUAUUAUAUAUCAAAAAAGAAUUCUAGUUUAUAUUCUUUUGUCUGUAAGAUGGGGGAGCUGUUGCAUUAUAAAAAAUACUGGUCAGUUCCAUUCCUCUAAGCAUUUUCUUUUGAUUAAAAUCAUUUGUAGUAAAAAUGAUGACCCAAACCUUUGUAAAUGAUAUUUUAGCUGGGUUAUAAUCUAAUGAAAUUGUGAUUUUAAAAGUGCUUCAAUUACUACAACUAUAAAAUCUUGGUUUACUAGGAAUAUGUAUAAGGUGAAGUAUCCAUUAUUUCUUUAACAUCAGUAUAUAUUGUUUAACAUUCUGCUUUUGGGCUAAGACUUCCUAGGCUUUACAGAAGAGAAGUUGUUUAUCUGAACAGUGUAAAAAUAUGUGUGUGUGUGUGUGUGUGUGUGUGUGUGUAUGUGUAUAAAAAUAUAUGUUCUGUUGUUAUUUAGUUAUGUCUUCCCUGAAAACACUGAUAGAUCCAACAAGUCUCUUGAUUCCUCUUAAAGAUAAGCAAGAAGAAGAAUAAAGUAUGUCACACUUAAACUUGAGUAAAUCCAAGUUGGAAAAACAGAAGCAGAUUUUUUUUUAAUCCUACAGGAUGAAUGUUGAGAGAGACAAAAAUAUUAACACCACAUAAAUUAUAACCUAGAGAAAUUCUAAACCAGGUUGAAAACCUACGCAUAAGCAGUCAAUAAUUAUCUUACACUUAUGCAAUACAAUUUUUUAUUACAGAAAGAACUUUAGUAAUUACCUCAUGCUGUAUAUAUGGGAAAGGAGAUAAGGAAGAAAAACUCUUUAUAGUAUGCAAUUAGUUAUCUCCUGCCUUAUCUUGGUAUUUGUAGAAACACUUGGAAGUAGGAAAAGUGAACAUUUGUAUCCCUGUUCUAUAGUUUAAAAAAUUGACACACAUAAGUUAUUUUUAAUUUAUCCAGUUAAUCACCAGUAAUCAUGAUGCUUUAUGAAUGACAAUUCUUUUAUAUUUAUUCAAAAAUAUGGGGAAAAUAAAUGACAUCUGCCUAUAUAACUUAAAAUUCUUGAAGAAAAUGUGUAUAGGAAUAACUUGGUAUGAAAUGUUAUAGAAAUGUUAGUUCUUUGUCUCUUAUAGUUACAGUAAGUGGCUAAUCAUCAUGUCUACGUUUAUGUAUAAUUUAUUUACAUUUUAAAAUGUUCUAACCUUGAAUACAUAGGGAACAAAUAUCUGAUGAUAGGUGUUUGCAAGGCAGCAUCAGUGAUUUUUCUUGAUAUUUUAUCUGAAAUAUCUGAGUAUCUACUAGGAAUCUAACAUGGAAAGGUAAUUACAUAUGAUGUUGGAAGCAAAUUUGUAUACACCCUAUUUAUGGCCAAGCAAAACAGUGUAAUGUGUCUGAGCAUGUAUGUGUUCCUUUCACCAGUUUUCUUGUGGUAGAAUUUAUAAAACUGCAUAUAUUCACAAUGUACAAUGUGAUGGUUUGACGUAUAUAUACAUUGUGAAAUAAUUACCACAAUCAAGUCAAUGAACACAUUCAUCACCUCAGCGUUUUCUAAAAUUACAUUUAUCAAACUGUAUUUGAAAGUAAAUGUGUUUUCUCAUUGUUAACCACGACUUUAAAACUUUAUUACAGAUUAAUGUUAAGAAAGCUACUGAAAUUAAUUUUAGUAAUAAAACAUCUGAAUAUACACCAUGAAAUGUAUAAAUGUAUGUGCUGAUUUUAGGAGUACAACUAAAUAAGUAAUGCAAACUUACUUGCAGGAUCAUCACUUUAACUCUGUCUCUCUCUCUCUCUCUCUCUUUAUAUAUAUGUCUCUCUCAUAUAUAUGAUAUAUCUUAUACAUCUAACUAUAUAUAUGUAGAGGAAGAAAGAGACACUAUAGAGUAAUACAACCUUUCCAUUAACUGCAUAUAAAGUCAGCCUUAUAAUAAUGCCCCUGGAUUAUCUGACCCUUUAAUAAAAUGUUAUACAUAUUUAGAGACUUGGAUUGUGCCUGUUUUUACUAACAGUUGUUAUUUAAAAUAUUAUUAGUAAGUUAAUUCAUAUAAACCAUGCAGAGAAGCUGUAUAACUGUGCAUAUAAAUAGUGAAGAGAAACUGAUCUGGCAUUCAGGGAUGUUGAGAUUAUUCCAACUCCGCUGCCAAUUGGCUGUGUGUCUUUGGAGAGGUCACAUAAUAUCUCCGAGCUAUAGUUUCCUUAUCAGUAACAUAGACUAGAUGAUUUUUAAAAUUUCACUCAGCACAUAAUUUGAUCUCUAACUUAAAAGAGCUGGAAUAAAAAUCACCACUAAAAAUUAUUAGCGUUACUAUGGUUGUACUUUGUUUUUAUACAUUACAGGCAUUAAAAACUACCUAGAGUUAAUUAGUAUUCGACAAAAUUAUUUCUUACAAAUCUUACGCUAUUCUGUAACGCAUGGGUCUAAUAUGUAUUUAAUGUAGCUUUCGUACAACUGCAAAAACUUCAAAGCAUAUCUGAACUUGUGGGUUUUGUAAGACUUGAACGCUAUAAAUGAAAGUAAUGGAAAUUUUAUUAUAUUCUAUUAUCGAUUGUGUGAUUAGAGUUGUUGAGUGGUAACUCAGUGUCUCAUGUGUGUGAAAGAGAGAGAAAUGAUGACAGUUGUAAAAGCCUAAGAUACACAAGACAGAAUAGUGGUUAGGAUCAUAAGCUUGGAAAUUAGAACCGAUAUUUUACUUCCAGUGUCUGCCACAUCUCAGUGGUAUGACUUUGGGAAAGUAGUUUAAUUUCUCUGAGUUACUUCAUCUGUAGUAUGCAGAUUACAAUAGCCACCGCACAGUGGGUAUAAAGAUGAGUAAGGUUAUAUUUUUGAACACGUAGAAGAGUAUCUGACAUACAAUAAGUGUGUACCGUUAAAGUAUACUUAAACAAAAUUUAAUAUUAAUAAAAGCUAUAUAUAGGUA